rnacentral:tRNA from 1 species
GGGAUUGUGGCUUAGAGGUAAAGCACUCGUCUAGCAUGUGAGAGGCACUGGGUUCGAUCCUUAGCGCCA